CCUUCGAUAGCUCAGUUGGUAGAAGGCGGAGGAGGACUGUAGAUCCUUAGGUCGCUGGUUCGACUCCGGCUCGAAGGA